AAAAAGACUUUGAAGAGAUGAGUAGCUUUGUCAGGCUUUUACAGAGAAUCCCUUGUAGCUGAGAUGGGAUAAGAACCAACAUCGUGAAUAAAGACUCCAAGUCGCAGGUGGAAGGCUUUUGCUAGAUGACCUGACGUAAACCCACGUUAUAGGGUCGGGCUAUUAUUGUAGCCUCUAAGGCAAGGGAUGCAAGUCUCUUGUAAAUUUGGGUGGUACCACGAGAUUUUCGUCCCUUUU
rnacentral:ncRNA from 1 species